rnacentral:rRNA from 1 species
UCAGUCGACUCCUACGGGAGGCAGCAGUGAGGAAUAUUGGUCAAUGGAGGGAACUCUGAACCAGCCAUCCCGCGUGUAGGAAGACGGCCUUAUCGGGUUGUAAACUACUUUUAUACAGGAAGAAACGUACCCUCGUGAGGGUGCCUGACGGUACUGUAGGAAUAAGCACCGGCUAACUCCGUGCCAGCAGCCGCGGUAAUACGGAGGGUGCGAGCGUUAUCCGGAUUUAUUGGGUUUAAAGGGUCCGUAGGCGGAUUAAUAAGUCAGUGGUGAAAUCCCAUCGCUUAACGAUGGAACUGCCAUUGAUACUGUUAGUCUUGAAUGAGGGUGCAGUGGUUGGAAUGUGUAGUGUAGCGGUGAAAUGCAUAGAUAUUACACAGAACACCGAUUGCGAAGGCAGAUCACUAACCCUAAAUUGACGCUGAGGGACGAAAGCGUGGGGAGCGAACAGGAUUAGAUACCCUGGUAG